UUAAGUUAAUAAGGGCGCACGGUGGAUGCCUUGGCACUAGAAGCCGAUGAAGGACGUGACUAACGACGAAAUGCUUUGGGGAGCUGUAAGUGAGCAAUGAUCCAGAGAUGUCCGAAUGGGGGAACCCGGCAGGUAAUGCCUGUCACUCAUUACUGUUAAGGUAAUGUAGAGGAAGACGCAGUGAACUGAAACAUCUAAGUAGCUGUAGGAAGAGAAAGCAAAAGCGAUUGCCUUAGUAGCGGCGAGCGAAACGGCAAGAGGGCAAACCGAAGAGUUUACUCUUCGGGGUUGUAGGACUGCAACGUGGACUUAAAGAUUAUAGAAGAACUACCUGGGAAGGUAGGCCAAAGAGAGUAAUAGCCUCGUAUUCGAAAUAGUCUUUAUACCUAGCAGUAUCCUGAGUACGGCGAGACACGAGAAAUCUCGUCGGAAUCUGGGAGGACCAUCUCCCAACCCUAAAUACUCUCUAGUGACCGAUAGUGAACCAGUACCGUGAGGGAAAGGUGAAAAGCACCCCGGGAGGGGAGUGAAAUAGAACCUGAAACCGUGUGCCUACAACAAGUUCGAGCCCGUUAAUGGGUGAGAGCGUGCCUUUUGUAGAAUGAACCGGCGAGUUACGAUAUGAUGCGAGGUUAAGUUGAAGAGACGGAGCCGUAGGGAAACCGAGUCUUAAUAGGGCGCAUUAGUAUCAUGUCGUAGACCCGAAACCAUGUGACCUACCCAUGAGCAGGUUGAAGGUGAGGUAAAACUCACUGGAGGACCGAACCAGGGCACGUUGAAAAGUGCUUGGAUGACUUGUGGGUAGCGGAGAAAUUCCAAACGAACUUGGAGAUAGCUGGUUCUCUCCGAAAUAGCUUUAGGGCUAGCGUCGAUGUUAAGUCUCUUGGAGGUAGAGCACUGUUUGGGUGAGGGGUCCAUCCCGGAUUACCAAUCUCAGAUAAACUCCGAAUGCCAAUGAGAUAUAAUCGGCAGUCAGACUGCGAGUGCUAAGAUCCGUAGUCGAAAGGGAAACAGCCCAGACCACCAGCUAAGGUCCCAAAAUAUAUGUUAAGUGGAAAAGGAUGUGGGGUUGCACAGACAACUAGGAUGUUAGCUUAGAAGCAGCUAUUCAUUCAAAGAGUGCGUAAUAGCUCACUAGUCGAGUGACCCUGCGCCGAAAAUGUACCGGGGCUAAAACAUAUUACCGAAGCUGUGGAUACCUUUAUAGGUAUGGUAGGAGAGCGUUCUAUGUGCGAAGAAGGUGUACCGUGAGGAGUGCUGGAGCGCAUAGAAGUGAGAAUGCCGGUAUGAGUAGCGAAAGACAGGUGAGAAUCCUGUCCACCGUAAGACUAAGGUUUCCAGGGGAAGGCUCGUCCGCCCUGGGUUAGUCGGGACCUAAGGAGAGACCGAAAGGUGUAUCCGAUGGACAACAGGUUGAUAUUCCUGUACUAGAGUAUAUAGUGAUGGAGGGACGCAGUAGGCUAACUAAACCAGACGAUUGGAAGUGUCUGGCCAAGCAGUGAGGUGUGAUAUGAGUCAAAUGCUUAUAUCUUUAACAUUGAGCUGUGAUGGGGAGCGAAGUUUAGUAGCGAAGUUAGUGAUGUCACACUGCCGAGAAAAGCUUCUAGCGUUAAUUAUACUCUACCCGUACCGCAAACCGACACAGGUAGUCGAGGCGAGUAGCCUCAGGUGAGCGAGAGAACUCUCGUUAAGGAACUCGGCAAAAUGGCCCCGUAACUUCGGGAGAAGGGGCGCUGACUGAUGGUCAGCCGCAGUGAAUAGGCCCAAGCAACUGUUUAUCAAAAACACAGCUCUCUGCUAAAUCGUAAGAUGAUGUAUAGGGGGUGACGCCUGCCCGGUGCUGGAAGGUUAAGAGGAGUGCUUAGCGUAAGCGAAGGCAUGAAUUGAAGCCCCAGUAAACGGCGGCCGUAACUAUAACGGUCCUAAGGUAGCGAAAUUCCUUGUCGGGUAAGUUCCGACCCGCACGAAAGGCGUAAUGAUUUGGGCACUGUCUCAACGAGAGACUCGGUGAAAUUUUAGUACCUGUGAAGAUGCAGGUUACCCGCGACAGGACGGAAAGACCCCAUGGAGCUUUACUGCAGUUUGAUAUUGAGUAUCUGUACCACAUGUACAGGAUAGGUAGGAGCCUAUGACCUCGGGACGCCAGUUUCGAGUGAGGCGUUGUUGGGAUACUACCCUUGUGUUAUGGCUACUCUAACCCAGAUAGGUUAUCCCUAUCGGAGACAGUGUCUGACGGGCAGUUUGACUGGGGCGGUCGCCUCCUAAAAGGUAACGGAGGCGCCCAAAGGUUCCCUCAGAAUGGUUGGAAAUCAUUCGCAGAGUGUAAAGGUAUAAGGGAGCUUGACUGCGAGAGUUACAACUCGAGCAGGGACGAAAGUCGGGCUUAGUGAUCCGGUGGUUCCGUAUGGAAGGGCCAUCGCUCAACGGAUAAAAGCUACCCUGGGGAUAACAGGCUUAUCUCCCCCAAGAGUUCACAUCGACGGGGAGGUUUGGCACCUCGAUGUCGGCUCGUCGCAUCCUGGGGCUGUAGUCGGUCCCAAGGGUUGGGCUGUUCGCCCAUUAAAGCGGCACGCGAGCUGGGUUCAGAACGUCGUGAGACAGUUCGGUCCCUAUCCGUCGCGGGCGUAGGAAAUUUGAGAGGAUCUGCUCCUAGUACGAGAGGACCAGAGUGGACUUACCGCUGGUGUACCAGUUGUUCUGCCAAGAGCAUCGCUGGGUAGCUAUGUAGGGAAGGGAUAAACGCUGAAAGCAUCUAAGUGUGAAGCCCACCUCAAGAUGAGAUUUCCCAUGAUUUUAUAUCAGUAAGAGCCCUGAGAGAUGAUCAGGUUGAUAGGUUAGAAGUGGAAGUGUGGUGACACAUGUAGCGGACUAAUACUAAUAGCUCGAGGACUUAUCCAA
rnacentral:rRNA from 4 species